rnacentral:lncRNA from 1 species
AAGGUGAUCAUAUCACAAAUUGAGUUGUAUUGGUUAACUUACUAAACCAUAUCGAAAAUCACCUACACUAGAAAAAAGGAGAUCAUUACGAACAUGUAUAAAGGGAUCAGUGACUCAUUGCUCUCCCAAAUCACAAGUCAGUAACAAAUAUACAGGGGAAAUGAUUGUAUCAAAGCAAAGUUUCUUGUAAGAAUAAGAAUCAUGUGUCAUCUAAAUACAUGCUACUGGAUAUGUCACUUAUGGAAUCAAUCCAAUAAGUAUCAUCUAAUUCUAUCUUAUACAUUAAAAUGAAUUUAAUGAACAAAUUCAGUAACCUGAAUUCAAUCUGUACAAAACAUAAAUAGAAAAAUGGAAACAAAAACUGCCAUAAAAUAUGCUUGAUUGAAGGAUUUUGUUGAUGUGAAAAGAGAUUCAAAAGGAGUUUUCUCAGUAAAAUCUCCUGUCACGUAAUAACAUGCAUAUAAUCAAUGCUUAGUGAGUGGAUCAUUAUGCAAUUAAACAAGCAUGAACUAGGAACCCUAAUUUUCCGAUUUUGCAGUAGUGAUUUCUAAUUUAGAUGAAUGAGAUGAUGUGAUUAUUCGGUAAUAUGCAAAAUAAAAACGAAAUUCAUAGUGUUCAAGUCAAAUCCAGAGCUCAAUUAGAGUGUUGAAAUGCCAAAAAAGAAUAACAAUCGCUGAAAUCUAAAUCAGAAUGUUGAAAUUUAACUUACGCAGAAAUCGGAGAAGAAUCGAGCACACCGUCAAAUUUCAACGAAGAAUAACAAUCGCGAGGAAAGAGGAAUGCGGCAAAGAGGAUCGGAGAAGAGUGAGAUCGGAGCAAAUUGAAGGGUGAAUGAGAUCGGAGCAAAAUCGUGGCCGGAGCAAAAUCGGAGUGAGAGCGUUUGCAAAAUCGGUGUCGCGAUAUUGAUGAUAACGACGACGUGUUCAGAGAUUU